rnacentral:pre_miRNA from 1 species
AAUAAAUGCAUUUUUUCAUUAUAUCGUUCGUCUUUUUUAAAAAAUUUUAUGAUUAGUAAUUUUAUUGCUAUUAGAUGAUAAAAUAUGAAUAGUACUUUACGUGUGACUAAAUAUUUUCAAUUUUUUCAUAAAUUUUUCAAAUAAAACGGACGGUCAAACAUUAGGUACGAAUAUCCAUAGCUGCACUUAUU